rnacentral:rRNA from 1 species
GGAGCUCUCCCNUAUGGUCGACCUGCAGGCGGCCGCGAAUUCACUAGUGAUUAGAGUUUGAUCCUGGCUCAGGACGAACGCUGGCGGUAUGCUUAACACAUGCAAGUCGAACGAGAAGAUCAGUUAAGAACCUUCGGGGGAAUAAGUGAUUGGAAAGUGGCGAACGGGUGAGUAACGCGUGGGUAACCUGUCCUAUGGAAAGGAAUAGCCUCGGGAAACUGGGAGUAAAGCCUUAUAUUAUGAUUGUGUCGCAUGGCAUGAUCAUGAAAACUCCGGUGCCAUAGGAUGGACCCGCGUCCCAUUAGCUAGUUGGUGAGGUAACGGCUCACCAAGGCAACGAUACAUAGGGGGACUGAGAGGUUAACCCCCCACACUGGUACUGAGACACGGACCAGACUCCUACGGGAGGCAGCAGUGAGGAAUAUUGGUCAAUGGACGCAAGUCUGAACCAGCCAUGCCGCGUGCAGGAAGACGGCUCUAUGAGUUGUAAACUGCUUUUGUACGAGGGUAAACUCACCUACGUGUAGGUGACUGAAAGUAUCGUACGAAUAANGAUCGGCUAACUCCGUGCCAGCAGCCGCGGUAAUACGGAGGAUUCAAGCGUUAUCCGGAUUUAUUGGGUUUAAAGGGUGCGUANGCGGUUUGAUAANUUAGAGGUGANA